rnacentral:rRNA from 1 species
GAUGAACGCUGGCGGUAUGCUUAACACAUGCAAGUCGAACGGACUCUUCGGAGUUAGUGGCGGACGGGUGAGUAACGCGUGAGAAUCUGGCUUUGGGUUCGGGACAACCACUGGAAACGGUGGCUAAUACCGGAUGUGCCGAGAGGUAAAAGAGAAAUUGCCUGAAGAUGAGCUCGCGUCUGAUUAGCUAGUUGGUGAGGUAAAGGCUCACCAAGGCAGCGAUCAGUAGCUGGUCUGAGAGGAUGACCAGCCACACUGGGACUGAGACACGGCCCAGACUCCUACGGGAGGCAGCAGUGGGGAAUUUUCCGCAAUGGGCGAAAGCCUGACGGAGCAAUACCACGUGAGGGAAGAAGGCUCUUGGGUUGUAAACCUCUUUUCUUAGGGAAGAACAAAAUGACGGUACCUAAGGAAUCAGCAUCGGCUAACUCCGUG